rnacentral:rRNA from 1 species
GGGGAUUAGUGGCGAACGGGUGAGUAACACGUGAGUAACCUGCCCUUAACUCUGGGAUAAGCCUGGGAAACUGGGUCUAAUACCGGAUAUGACUCCUCAUCGCAUGGUGGGGGGUGGAAAGCUUUAUUGUGGUUUUGGAUGGACUCGCGGCCUAUCAGCUUGUUGGUGAGGUAAUGGCUCACCAAGGCGACGACGGGUAGCCGGCCUGAGAGGGUGACCGGCCACACUGGGACUGAGACACGGCCCAGACUCCUACGGGAGGCAGCAGUGGGGAAUAUUGCACAAUGGGCGCAAGCCUGAUGCAGCGACGCCGCGUGAGGGAUGACGGCCUUCGGGUUGUAAACCUCUUUCAGUAGGGAAGAAGCGAAAGUGACGGUACCUGCAGAAGAAGCGCCGGCUAACUACGUGCCAGCAGCCGCGGUAAUACGUAGGGCGCAAGCGUUAUCCGGAAUUAUUGGGCGUAAAGAGCUCGUAGGCGGUUUGUCGCGUCUGCCGUGAAAGUCCGGGGCUCAACUCCGGAUCUGCGGUGGGUACGGGCAGACUAGAGUGAUGUAGGGGAGACUGGAAUUCCUGGUGUAGCGGUGAAAUGCGCAGAUAUCAGGAGGAACACCGAUGGCGAAGGCAGGUCUCUGGGCAUUAACUGACGCUGAGGAGCGAAAGCAUGGGGAGCGAACAGGAUUAGAUACCCUGGUAGUCCAUGCCGUAAACGUUGGGCACUAGGUGUGGGGGGACAUUCCACGUUUUCCGCGCCGUAGCUAACGCAUUAAGUGCCCCGCCUGGGGAGUACGGCCGCAAGGCUAAAACUCAAAGGAAUUGACGGGGGCCCGCACAAGCGGCGGAGCAUGCGGAUUAAUUCGAUGCAACGCGAAGAACCUUACCAAGGCUUGACAUGGACCGGACCGGGCUGGAAACAGUCCUUCCCCUUUGGGGCCGGUUCACAGGUGGUGCAUGGUUGUCGUCAGCUCGUGUCGUGAGAUGUUGGGUUAAGUCCCGCAACGAGCGCAACCCUCGUUCCAUGUUCAGCGCGUAUGGCGGGGACUCAUGGGAGACUGCCGGGGUCAACUCGGAGGAAGGUGGGGACGACGUCAAAUCAUCAUGCCCCUUAUGUCUUGGGCUUCACGCAUGCUACAAUGGCCGGUACAAAGGGUUGCGAUACUGUGAGGUGGAGCUAAUCCCAAAAAGCCGGUCUCAGUUCGGAUUGGGGUCUGCAACUCGACCCCAUGAAGUCGGAGUCGCUAGUAAUCGCAGAUCAGCAACGCUGCGGUGAAUACGUUCCCGGGCCUUGUACACACCGCCCGUCAAGUCACGAAAGUUGGUAACACCUCGAAGCCGGUGGUCCUAACCCCUGUGGGAGGGAGC